rnacentral:rRNA from 1 species
AACGAACGCUGGCGGCAGGCCUAACACAUGCAAGUCGAACGCCCCGCAAGGGGAGUGGCAGACGGGUGAGUAACACGUGGGUAACGUACCCUUCGGUUCGGGAUAACUCAGGGAAACUUGAGCUAAUACCGGAUACGUCCGAGAGGAGAAAGAUUUAUCGCCGAGGGAUCGGCCCGCGUCUGAUUAGCUUGUUGGUGAGGUAACGGCUCACCAAGGCGACGAUCAGUAGCUGGUCUGAGAGGAUGAUCAGCCACAUUGGGACUGAGACACGGCCCAAACUCCUACGGGAGGCAGCAGUGGGGAAUAUUGGACAAUGGGCGCAAGCCUGAUCCAGCCAUGCCGCGUGAGUGAUGAA